CUGAUCUCAAAUCAGGUAGGACUACCCGCUGAACUUAAGCAUAUCAAUAA
rnacentral:rRNA from 2 species